rnacentral:lncRNA from 1 species
AUUCUGUGUCCAGGACUUCGGGCCCUCUGUGAGCCUCUGUCCGCCAAGGCGAUGGAGCUGUGUUUGGAGUCCCUCGUCUUUGGCAGCGGCUGGGGCCAAAGCCCGGGCAAGACCAACGCCUUCGGCACCCGGACUCAGGCUCCGUCCUCUCUGCCAGCGUGCGGCUACAAUGACUCGACAUGGCAGGCCACUGCCUUCAGAGAAGGUGACAGAGGGCCAUGUCUGAAACAUUCUCCCACAACCAGGAACCCUCAGCAGCCGCUGAAGAGGAAAGGCAGUUAAAUGGAAAGACUUCUGAGCAAGUGGAGGAAAAGUCACGUGUGACCUAGGGAGGGGCUCCCACAGGAAGGGGCAAUGCCCUUGCCCUGUUCACCUAGCCUCCAGGUGGCUUCCCACUUGAAAUUUCAGAGGAUGGCAGAAACCUACUUACAAGGAAAUGAAAGAGGGCACAGCAACCUUAAGACCAGAGCAGCCCACGAUAUUUUUUAAUGAGGGCAAAAAUAGAAGACUUGCAAAAGACCCCUGAAAAUAAUGCCUGGAAGCUGCGAAACAUCAGACUGACACCGCACAAAAGAGGUCCAGCUGAGCAGGAGAAAAGCUUGAGAAGCAUCCAGAACAAUGUAGGUGGAGAGGCUAAGAAGAAAGAGGAGCCCACAUGGAAUGAAUAACCAAGGUCGGGACAGAGGAAGGUUCGCCAGAACUGGGAGGGCUGAAAUUGGACAUUGAGAUAAAUUAAAGAGUGUUCUUUAAAACUGU